rnacentral:rRNA from 1 species
GAUGAACGCUGGCGGCGUGCCUAAUACAUGCAAGUCGAGCGAACGGACGAGAAGCUUGCUUCUCUGAUGUUAGCGGCGGACGGGUGAGUAACACGUGGAUAACCUACCUAUAAGACUGGGAUAACUUCGGGAAACCGGAGCUAAUACCGGAUAAUAUUUUGAACCGCAUGGUUCAAAAGUGAAAGACGGUCUUGCUGUCACUUAUAGAUGGAUCAGCGCUGCAUUAGCUAGUUGGUAAGGUAACGGCUUACCAAGGCAACGAUGCAUAGCCGACCUGAGAGGGUGAUCGGCCACACUGGAACUGAGACACGGUCCAGACUCCUACGGGAGGCAGCAGUAGGGAAUCUUCCGCAAUGGGCGAAAGCCUGACGGAGCAACGCCGCGUGAGUGAUGAAGGUCUUCGGAUCGUAAAACUCUGUUAUUAGGGAAGAACAUAUGUGUAAGUAACUAUGCACAUCUUGACGGUACCUAAUCAGAAAGCCACGGCUAACUACGUG